rnacentral:rRNA from 1 species
UACGGAGGGUGCAAGCGUUACUCGGAAUCACUGGGCGUAAAGCGCGCGUAGGCGGCUUUUCAAGUCAGGGGUGAAAUCCCACGGCCCAACCGUGGAACUGCCUUUGAAACUGUAGAGCUUGAGUGUCGGAGAGGGUGGCGGAAUUCCAGGUGUAGGAGUGAAAUCCGUAGAUAUCUGGAGGAACAUCAGUGGCGAAGGCGGCCGCCUGGCCUGUUACUGACGCUGAGGCACGAAAGCGUGGGGAGCAAAUAGG